rnacentral:rRNA from 1 species
GAUGAACGCUGGCGGCGUGCCUAAUACAUGCAAGUCGAGCGAACGGACGAGAAGCUUGCUUCUCUGAUGUUAGCGGCGGACGGGUGAGUAACACGUGGAUAACCUACCUAUAAGACUGGGAUAACUUCGGGAAACCGGAGCUAAUACCGGAUAAUAUUUUGAACCGCAUGGUUCAAAAGUGAAAGACGGUCUUGCUGUCACUUAUAGAUGGAUCCGCGCUGCAUUAGCUAGUUGGUAAGGUAACGGCUUACCAAGGCAACGAUGCAUAGCCGACCUGAGAGGGUGAUCGGCCACACUGGAACUGAGACACGGUCCAGACUCCUACGAGAGGCAGCAGUAGGGAAUCUUCCGCAAUGGGCGGGAGCCUGACGGAGCAACGCCGCGUGAGUGAUGAAGGUCUUCGGAUCGUAAAACUCUGUUAUUAGGGAAGAACAUAUGUGUAAGUAACUGUGCACAUCUUGACGGUACCUAAUCAGAAAGCCACGGCUAACUACGUG